rnacentral:rRNA from 1 species
GACGAACCGAGCGAACGUUGUUCGGAAUCACUGGGCUUAAAGGGCGCGUAGGCGGGUGCUCAAGUCCGGGGUGAAAUCCUCCAGCUCAACUGGAGAACUGCCUCAGAUACUGGGUGUCUCGAGGGUGGUAGGGGUAUGCGGAACUAUCGGUGGAGCGGUGAAAUGCGUUGAUAUCGAUAGGAACUCCGGUGGCGAAGGCGGCAUACUGGACCACAUCUGACGCUGAGGCGCGAAAGCCAGGGGAGCAAACAGG